rnacentral:tRNA from 1 species
UGGGGGAUCGUUCAACGGUAGGACAACGGACUCUGACUCCGUGAAUCAAGGUUCGAAUCCUUGUCCCCCAG